AAAAAAAAAAAAAAAAAAAAAAGAGUAAUGUGACAAUCUCUAUAAUAUUAUUUGAGAAAUUAAUUUUCUAUAUGUCGCGCUCACAUUAAUUCUAAUGAUAUUUAAUUACACUGAUAUCUUUAAUGAAUCAAGUAUAUAAUAAUGAAUCAAGUAUAUCAAUUCUUCUCGCUCUUCCUCUUCUCGCUCUUCCGACAUACGUUAUGUCAACGUUUCUGCUCCCUUUGGAGAUUUGUGAAAACCUCGCUAGUGCCAUUGCGCAA
rnacentral:lncRNA from 1 species